AUGGCCACGGCGGCGUUGGCGAGGCCGUGCUGGCUAGGGUUUAACCCUAGCAUAUAUAGCGCCUCCCACGUUGUCGCCGCGACGAGGGCGUUGGUGACCUCUUGCUGCGCGGCGGCGGCGACCGUUGCGAUGGCUUCGUCCCUCGCGCCCGCCGUGUGCCUCCGGUCCUUCCUCUUCGCCGACUCCCUUGCCGACUGUUCGGGCGUCAGCCUCUUCUUCGGCUUGGGCGCGCCGGCGGUCUUGCGGGGGGCGCGAGGCUUGCCUUUGCCGGAUGGGGCGGUCGUCAUGCCGGACGAGGCGAGGGAGGCGAGGCCGACGACGGCGUCGAGGUCAUCGUUCAUGGCGGGUGGCAGGAGCGCGCGCGGGCGGAAGGUUUUUUUGGGGGAAAUGGAGGAAAAUGAUGAAGGCUGCCAUCGACCAGGGGAGAGGAGAAGGCGAGCGCGCGCGCGUCCGUCUCAUGUCCGCUCCAACGCAAAUCCGGCUUAA
rnacentral:rRNA from 1 species